GCCGGGAGUCGUGGCGCGCGCCUGUAGUCUCAGCUACUCGGGAGGCUGAGGUGGGAAGAUCGCUUGAGCCCAGGAGUUCGAGGAUGCAGUGAGCUAUGAUCGCACCACUGCACUCCAGCCUGGGCGACAGAGCGAGACCCUGUUUCUU
rnacentral:SRP_RNA from 1 species